rnacentral:rRNA from 1 species
ACGGAGGAUGCAAGCGUUAUCCGGAUUCAUUGGGUUUAAAGGGUGCGCAGGCGGAUUGGUAAGUCAGUGGUGAAAUUCUAGUGCUUAACAUUAGAGCUGCCAUUGAUACUGUCAGUCUAGAGUAUAGUUGGAGUGGGCGGAAUGUGUCAUGUAGCGGUGAAAUGCUUAGAUAUGACACAGAACACCGAUCGCGAAGGCAGCUCACUAAGCUAAAACUGACGCUCAUGCACGAAAGCGUGGGGAUCAAACAG